UUUAAUUAACCUUUUGAAAUUGUUAAGUUUUAUUGAUAAUUUUACCGUCGCGUCGUAACGCAUUAUACUUUGAUACAUUUACAAGCUUUUAAUUCAAUUUCUAAACCUCUGCGUUUCCAUAAUGCAAAUAAUAACUUACUGCAAGCUGACCAAUGUUAUAUUAGCUGUCGUGUAUUACAACCGAAACACUUUAAACCCACAGAAAUGUCUAAAGUAGCGUUUGGACCGCGAAUAAUGUUAUAUUAGGUCGUUUACAACCGGAAAACUUCAAGCCCUUAGCUAAUGGAAAUAUCUGUCCAUAGUCCGCCCGGUUAGGAGUA